rnacentral:rRNA from 1 species
UGGGGAAUAUUGGACAAUGGGGGGAACCCUGAUCCAGCCAUGCCGCGUGUGUGAAGAAGGCCUUAUGGUUGUAAAGCACUUUAAGCGAGGAGGAGGGUACUGGUAUUAAUACUACCAGCUACUGGACGUUACUCGCAGAAUAAGCACCGGCUAACUCUGUGCCAGCGUCCGCGGUAAUACAGGGGGUGCGAGCGUUAAUCGGAUUUACUGGGCGGAAAGCGUGCGUAGGCGGCUAAUUGAGUCGGAUGUGAAAUCCCCAAGCUUAACUUGGGAAUUGCAUUCGAUACUGGUUAGCUAGAGUGUGGGAGAGGAUGGUAGAAUUCCAGGUUUAGCGGUGAAAUGCGUAGAGAUCUGGAGGAAUACCGAUGGCGAAGGCAGCCAUCUGGCCUAACACUGACGCUGAGGUACGAAAGCAUGGGGAGCAAACAGG